UACGUAGGUGGCAAGCGUUGUCCGGAAUUAUUGGGCGUAAAGAGCUCGUAGGCGGUUUGUCGCGUCUGCUGUGAAAACCUAAGGCUCAACCUUGGGCUUGCAGUGGGUACGGGCAGACUAGAGUGCGGUAGGGGUGACUGGAAUUCCUGGUGUAGCGGUGGAAUGCGCAGAUAUCAGGAGGAACACCGAUGGCGAAGGCAGGUCACUGGGCCGCAACUGACGCUGAGGAGCGAAAGCAUGGGGGAGCGAACAGG
rnacentral:rRNA from 1 species